UUGUUCAUGCACUUCACUUAGUGCUGUCUUGGACUUUUGGGCCGAGGUUUGCUGGUUGGCUCCCGAGCAGACAGCAGGAAAGAAGAAGCCCUUUGUGUACACCCAGGGCCAGGCUGUCCUAAACCGGGCCUUCUUCCCUUGCUUCGACACGCCUGCUGUUAAAUACAAGUAUUCAGCUCUUAUUGAGGAGCCGGGUGUGGGCUGAGCCCUGCCUGAUUGAUGCUGCCAAGGAGGAGUACAACGGGGUGAUAGAAGAAUUUUUGGCAACAGGAGAGAAGCUUUUUGGACCUUAUGUUUGGGGAAGGUAUGACUUGCUCUUCAUGCCACCGUCCUUUCCAUUUGGAGGAAUGGAGAACCCUUGUCUGACCUUUGUCACCCCCUGCCUGCUAGCUGGGGACCGCUCCUUGGCAGAUGUCAUCAUCCAUGAGAUCUCCCACAGUUGGUUUGGGAACCUGGUCACCAACGCCAACUGGGGUGAAUUCUGGCUCAACGAAGGCUUCACCAUGUACGCCCAGAGGAGGAUCUCCACCAUCCUCUUUGGUGCUGCGUACACCUGCUUGGAGGCUGCAACGGGGCGGGCUCUGCUGCGUCAGCACAUGGACAUCACUGGAGAGGAAAACCCACUCAACAAGCUCCGCGUGAAGAUUGAACCAGGCGUUGACCCGGACGACACCUAUAAUGAGACCCCCUAUGAGAAAGGUUUCUGCUUUGUCUCAUACCUGGCCCACUUGGUGGGUGAUCAGGAUCAGUUUGACAAUUUUCUCAAGGCCUAUGUGCAUGAAUUCAAAUUCCAAAGCAUCUUAGCCGAUGACUUUCUGGACUUCUACUUGGAAUAUUUCCCUGAGCUUAAGAAAAAGAGAGUGGAUAUCAUUCCAGGUUUUGAGUUUGAUCGAUGGCUGAAUAGCCCUGGCUGGCCCCCUUACCUCCCUGAUCUCUCCCUUGGAGACUCACUCAUGAA
rnacentral:sRNA from 1 species